AGCGAACGCUGGCGGCAGGCCUAACACAUGCAAGUCGAACGAAGUCUACGGACUUAGUGGCGGACGGGUGAGUAACACGUGGGAACGUGCCUUUAGGUUCGGAAUAACUCAGGGAAACUUGUGCUAAUACCGAAUGUGCCCUUCGGGGGAAAGAUUUAUCGCCUUUAGAGCGGCCCGCGUCUGAUUAGCUAGUUGGUGAGGUAAAGGCUCACCAAGGCGACGAUCAGUAGCUGGUCUGAGAGGAUGAUAAGCCACAUUGGGACUGAGACACGGCCCAAACUCCUACGGGAGGCAGCAGUGGGGAAUUUUGCGCAAUGGGCGAAAGCCUGACGCAGCCAUGCCGCGUGAAUGAUGAAAGUCUUAGGAUUGUAAAAUCCUUUCACCGGUGAAGAUAAUGACUGUAGCCGGAGAAGAAGCCCCGGCUAACUUCGUGCCAGCCGCCGCAGUAACAC
rnacentral:rRNA from 1 species